CUCAAAUCUAAACCCCAAAUACCCGGUUCAUAGAGCAAUUAGUAUGCGUUGAACUACAUCGAGUUCAAUGGUGGAUCAAAUCAAAGUCCCAAAUGAAUGGCAAGAAUUCCAAUGCGAGACCUUUUACAAAUCAGAUCACCAAUGCGAGACCUUUUACAAAUCAGAUUAAUAAACACCAUUCUUAGUGCCCAUCACCACAGCUCUUCAAUUCUGAUUACUCCCCAGCAAAACAAUCACUUCUUAAUUACUCCCCAGCAAAACAAUCACUU
rnacentral:lncRNA from 1 species